rnacentral:misc_RNA from 1 species
UUAACUUGUUUGAUUGUACUCGAGAUGCCAACGCAGAGAGACAGAGUUUGGUGGGCUGCCGGCGGGCUUCGCGCCCCGGGGAGGGAGGACCCUCGCCGAGGCACCCGCCGAAGCAACGUGCUUGUAGUUAAGUUCACAGGGUGAAGGAGUCUUGCGAGUCCUGUAAUGAUCCCUCCGCUGGUUCACCAACGGAGA